rnacentral:lncRNA from 1 species
CAGGAACCUGAGGCUUCUGUCUUGCAUUUUUGUUUUUGCAGAUUGCAUUAAGUAUUUCUCAUGACUCUGAAGAAUUAGCCCAGCCCAUCUUGACUGCGGUACAAACAGGAAAUGAAAACCCCACAGUCAGAGGAUACACCUGCCAAAGGCUGGUUGAGCAGCUGUGGCCCUCACCCAUGGUUGAGUGCAAAAGCAGAAGCAUCAAGUGCUAAGUGCAGACUGAGCACUGUUUCUUCUCAAAGCUUUGGAGGCUGGAUGGUCUGCAAAGACAAGUAGACUAAGCCUCAAGCUGAAAGAACUCCAAACAGGAAUCCCUCAAUAAGUAAAUUCUAAAUACAGAAAGAUAGCAUGUUGCUCAGCAGCACUUGCUAUCUUAUAAAAUACUUUUUAUAUCACCAAAUCCCCAGAUUUUCCCAUCAAAUGGAACUGUACAGUUCACUGUCCCAGAGCUGCAGACCCUUGAAACAGUGAAGUCCUCAACCACCUUUCAAGCUGGCUUCUGUGAAGCUGAAUCCGUGGAAGACUCCAUCGAUUUGGGGAGAAUUAUGCUGAUAUCAACUUGUCUCUGUGGAACAUUGUGAUUUUGACAAAUCAGCAGAUUCCUGUUGAAGUGUUUGUAAUUUUUUAUUGGUUGUAAUUAUAGUGCUGUAGUUAUUGAUUACUUUCACCCAGAGAGAGAAGCAUAUCUAAUUACAAAGUGAUUAAGUUAGCCUAGUAACUGUCUCAGUAGUGGUCUGCUCAGAAUGAUUUCUUAUGGGAGCGCUUUAUGGUGACAGCUGGCAGUGGCUGCAGUGAGACAGCUGACUGCAAAGUUUGUUCAGGUUAGCUUUAGUUCAUUAAAAUAGUAUGGUUGGUUGCUUGCAAGCCGUAUUUAAGUUCUUUGUGCAGGUCCAGUUUGUCAGGUCAAAGCUAAUUAAAAUAAAACCACAGACUAUUGGAAAUGGAGAACA